rnacentral:rRNA from 1 species
CCUACGGGUGGCAGCAGUGGGGCAUAUUGGGCAAUGGACGCAAGUCUGACCCAGCAACGUCGCGUGAAGGAAGAAGGCUCUCGGGUUGUAAACUUCUUUUAAGGGGGAAGAGCAGAAGACGGUACCCCUUGAAUAAGCCACGGCUAACUACGUGCCAGCAGCCGCGGUAAUACGUAGGUGGCACGCGUUGUCCGGAAUUACUGGGUGUAAAGGGAGAGUUGGUGGCAGAGCAAGUCCGAAGUGAAAACCCAAAGCUCAACUAUGGGAAUGCUUUAGAAACUGCUCAGCUAGAGUGCAGGAGAAGCAAGUGGAAUUCUUGGUGUAGCGGUGAAAUGCGUAGAUAUUAGGAAGAACACCAGUGGCGAAGGCGGCUUGCUGGACUGUAACUGACACUGAGGCUCGAAAGCGUGGGGAGCGAACAGGAUUAGAUACCCUUGUAGUC